GACGAACGCUGGCGGCGUGCUUAACACAUGCAAGUCGAGCGGUAAGGCCCUUUCGGGGGUACACGAGCGGCGAACGGGUGAGUAACACGUGGGUGACCUGCCCUCAGCUCUGGGAUAAGCCCGGGAAACUGGGUCUAAUACUGGAUAUGACUCCACGGUGCAUGCCGUGGGGUGGAAAGCCUUGUGCGGCUGAGGAUGGGCCCGCGGCCUAUCAGCUUGUUGGUGGGGUGAUGGCCUACCAAGGCGACGACGGGUAGCCGGCCUGAGAGGGCGACCGGCCACACUGGGACUGAGACACGGCCCAGACUCCUACGGGAGGCAGCAGUGGGGAAUAUUGGACAAUGGGCGCAAGCCUGAUCCAGCGAUGCCGCGUGUGUGAAGAAGGCCUGGCGGGUUAGUAAA
rnacentral:rRNA from 1 species